rnacentral:pre_miRNA from 1 species
AGUGUUCACAGCGGUCCUUGAUGUUCCACACAACGCAAUUAAGGCACGCGGUGAAUGCCAA